UGAUGAUGAUGGUGAUGAUGAUGAUGAUAAUGAUGAUGAUUCACAGUAACUCACCUGUCAAACCAUCAGUGGAAUCCUUCAUGGGUCUUUGUACCCGGAAGACCACCUGUCACCUUUCAAUCUGCAGUCUGUAUUUUAUUCACCAUAAUCAUCCCCUAGAAAUUCAUCCCACUGAGCCUUGGGCUGUACUCUUCUAUCCCCUAGCUCUAAUAGUUCAGGAAACUGAGGCUGAGAGACAUUGUGUUUUGCCUAGAAUCAUCCAGCUAACAAGUAUCUGAGGCAGGAUUCCAACUGCCAUCUUUGUGACUCCAAAGUUUUCGAAGGACUGGUGAGGAAAACAA